UUUGCCAACUCGGUUAUAAUACAACUGGACACUUUUCUUUGAUGUGUAUAUAAACACUGUACUCAUUAAUUGCAAGAUAUGAGAUUCACACUUUUCUCAACUGUUUACUCUAUAAUAUGGUAUCAGAGCAACGCUAGAUUUGAGGCAGUUAUUUUCUUUUUGGCUUCUCCUUUACGAUUCUUCUCAUUUCUUCUUGUCACCUUUUCAAGUUUUCUGGUUCAUUAAUGGCAGAUUCAAGCUCAUUUCAGCAAGAUGUUGCUUCUGGAUCUAAUGUCAAUCCUGUAGAAGACACUUCUUCGCCGUUUUAUCUUCAUCAUUUUGAGAAUCACAGUUCAGUAAUUGUUACUCCAGAACUCACUUCAACAAAUUUUCCAUCUUGGAAAAGGUCCUUUCUCUUGGCAGUUUCUAUACAUAAUAAACAAGGGUUUCUUGAUGGAUCCAUUGUUAAACCCUCACCAGAAGACUCAACAUAUCUACCAUGGAUAAGGUGCAAUAAUCUCAUUGUGGCAUGGCUCUUGAGAUCAAUCUCACCUCCAAUUACAUCAACAGUGUUUUAUAUGGAAGAUGCAAAGCAGAUCUGGGAGAAAUUGCACCAAAGGUUUUCACAACCUAAUGAUUCUAGAAUCUGUCACCUUCAACAUUUGUUGUGUACCAUUACCCAAGGUACAAAAUCUGUGGAUGCAUAUUUUACUGAAUUAAAUGGUGUUUGGGAAGAAUUAAGGAAUUUUAGGCCUUUUUUGCAUUGUUCUUGUGGUAAAUGCAAUCAAGAAUGUUUUCAAAGAUUUGUGGAGGUUCAGCAAAGAGAUUAUGUGUUUAAGUUUCUUAAUGGGUUAAACGAGACUUAUCAAGGUUUAAGGUCACAAAUCAUAUUGAUGAAGCCUUUUCCUACCUUGGAUCAAGUCUAUAAUAUGCUUUUGUGCGAGGAAACACAAAGAUCUCUCAUGAUGCAGACUCAGAGUUUUUCAGAAACUUCUGCUAUGGCUGUCAAAAGGUCCAAACCUGAUGUAACUCGCUUUCAUUGUGCCAAGCCUGGACAUGUUAAGGCCAAUUGUUUUUGGUUGAUAGGGUUUCCUCCUAAUUUCAAAUUCUCAAAAUCCAAGGUAGGAUCUGGUAGUUUUUUUGCAAAUUCUAAGCAAGCAUCUGCACAGCAAGUCACAGGCAAGUGUUCUGUUGAUGUUGUGGUUGAUAAUAUUCCUAAGUUAAAUCUCUCUAAGGAACAAGUGAACAAGCUAAUGUCACUUCUCAAUGAUCAAGCUAAUAUCACUGUACCUAACCCUAUUUCAUUUUCAUCUCCAAAUCAAAAUGUCUCACAAGUGAAUACUGUGGGUAUAUGUUCUUAUAUUCUUUCUGCUGUAUCACAUUCAAUUUUUCAUAAAAUUCUCCUCACUGAUUUUAUUCAACCACCAUGGAUUGUGGAUAGUGGUGCCACAGAUCAUAUAAUAUGCAAUAGUUCUCUUUUUCACACUUUUGUUUCAGUUAGUGAUUCAUUUGUUUCUUUACCUAAUGGAGUCAAAGUCCAAGUCACAGUUGUUGGUACUGUUAAGCUCAAUCCUUAUCUUAUUCUUACUAAUAUUCUUUUAGUUCUUUCUUUUAAUUUCAAUUUGUUGUCCAUAAGUAGACUCAUUCAUUCCAAUCAGAUAUGUUGUAUAAUUGUUUCCAAUUAUUGCUUUAUCCAGGUCCUUUCAUCAUGGAUAACGAUUGGAUUGGCUAAGCAAAAGGAUGGAUUGUUCUACUUGUUGCAGCAAUAUACUAUCUCUCCCAGUAAUUGCUCCACUGUGCAGUCUCCUAAUGUUUCUUUUGAUAUUUGGCAUCAUAGGUUAGGUCAUCUUGCUGAUGACAGAUUAACUAUUUUACAGUCUUUACUUUCUUUUUCCACAAAUAAGUCACAUCAUCCUUGUUAUACUUGUCCUCGAGCCAAACAAAAGAGGCUUCCUUUUCCUAAACACAUUUUUGUUACUGUUUCUCCAUUUGAGCUUGUGCAUAUGGAUGUAUG
rnacentral:misc_RNA from 1 species